UGCUGCCACCUGGAGCAAUGUUUGAACUUCAUCUCGAAUGCGUCGGGCCUGGGAAUUUGAUGGUUCUGGCAUGUUACGUAGUAGCAUCGUCGCUGCCACUACAUUCUGCCCUGCUCGAGGGAAACGGCUGACAGGUUGCUCCGCCUCUGCGUCACCGACGAUCUGUCGAUGUACCUCUCGAGCGCGUCUGCGGACACUUCCGCCCGGCGGGUAGGGCAGGUCUUGUUCGAGGAUCUGCUCGAGCAGGACGAGGCGCUCGCGAUCUUCGUCGAGCUUCAUCUUGAGCUCCCGCAGCUGCGCGAGCUGCGCAGUUCUAUCUUCCUGAGGAAGAGGGUCGAGCCGUCCGUCGUUCCCAGGCGUCCUGGGGUCUUCUUGCGCCGCGGGGGCUCGACCACCCGCAGCAGCAUCCCGUGCCUCGUCGGUGGUUUCUGCCGCCCCGUCGACGUGAUAGCAUUCCCUCGUAGGGUCAUAGCUGUCUGUCUCGGAGUCGGAGUCCGGUUCGGCGGCAUGGAAACACCCACGUCCUUCCUCCAGCAAUCGUUGCCUGAGGGAGGUGAUCGAGUAUCGUCCGGGGCCUAGACGGCGGAGGCCUCGUACUCGGGAAAGGUCCGGCACCUCGGACGCCGGCCGUCGUGCUUCAGAGCUACGUGGGAGGACCAUUGGUCUUUCUACGUACGUCUGGGCGUUUGGGCAUGUCGCCUUGGCGAGCGACGCCGCGGCGUUAUCCAACCCGAACGGCAGUGCCGCCCUUGGAGAGAACAACCCGUGUGGAAGUAGCCUAGCUGCGGUGGGGGAGGGCGCGCGAGACGCGUCUCCCCCCGUCGUCGCGCGGUGCUGAGCCGUCGUGCUUGUUGCUCGGUCACACGGUGUUGCCGACCCGUGGUCCACAUCCUGCCUUGCACGAGUUGUUGGUCGUGCUGAAGCAGAGGGGCCGCGGCGGUGCUGCCCGCGCCUCUUCUUAGGCGGGGAGGCGUGGUGGUGAGGGCGUCUCGGAGCCUUCAACCGUGCUGGCGUAACGCGGACUCCUCCUGGUCCUUUGACUGAGAGCAAGAUCAUGUCGUAGCCGGAGCCCGUAGACACGAACUCGAGACUCCCAAACCAAAUCACCGUGGAGCGCGGAAGCGGCGAGGCAAGAGUAGCCAUCCGGAAAGUGGUGGGAAAUCGGUGAAAAACACGCAGGACCCCUACCUGGCGCGCCAACUGUCGGUGUUUUUACCCCGGGGGGUCACACCAACGAGUAAAUUUGUAUGCGUGCUCCCCUUUCCGGAUGGUGAUGCAAGAAGACACAGAGAUUUAUCCUGGUUCGGGCAAGAGAAGGCCCUACGUCCAGCGGGGGGAGAGAGUUUGUAUUAUCUUGCACCUAAGUGCUUGUACAGGGGUGAAUACAAGCGUGGUAUGAAGUGUAUAGCUCUACUACGUGUAUGUGUGUUCUUGUGUUGUGAUCUCCCUCCCUUCUAUUCCUGAGUCUCUCCUUUUAUAGCUCCAAGGAGAGACACAGGGUACAUGCGUAGAUGUUAGAGUAGGGAUCGAUAGCCACAUGGAGCGCUGACCUACUCGAGGCUUCCGUACGGCAUGGCCUCGAGCCGUCCCAUCUUGAUAGCCUGGUGAUGAUUACGCGUGCUCCUGCGUGCUGCCCUGCCAGCCGCCUUGUGCUGGUUCUGAGGUCGCAUGCUCGUAUGGUAUGGUGGCGGAUCCGGCGGGGCAGCUGUGGUGUUGUCAGUCGACGCCCAACUUGUCCCUGGGAAGGAACCUUGUUCGGUCGAGGGUCGGGCGCCGCGUAAUAUGCUGAUAUCUGGAGCGCUGACCUUGGGUGUCUCGAGGGGGUCCCGAUUAGACGUUCCAUCCUUGUUUCCUGCGUCCUGACACGCCCUGGGUCGUUCGGUGGGAAGGCUGCAAAAAGAACGAUGGGACAGAAGCUUGUUCCCUAUCACGCCUUCCGUGACCCGUGUGUUAGGUGGGAAGCGUCAGAUGCAUUUAAUGCUCACGCCCGCGUGCGCGCGUCAGGCGGCGGACAGUGUCCUGGCGCUCGACGCCUCUCGGUUCGCUCGAGCCCGCUUCCGUUUUCGACGGUAGUCGUCGCUCGAGCCCUGACCGAUUCGCUCGACGCUAUUUCCGUCUUCGAGGCUGCGACCGUCGAUGGCGGCGCGUACGUAAGAUUAAAGCGUCGAAUUGAGGGUCCCAACCUUCGUACGGGCAAUCUCAUAAUGCGCAUCGCUGAGGGUACCCCUUACCGAUACCCUCGACACCUAUAUUAGGACUCCUACUCCAUAUUGAUUUAGACGCAAGUUGUCCAAUUUUCAUCUGGCACGGACGCUUCCGCGGUUCCGCCAGGCUCUGGUCACGCUCGUGCGCUCGAGGCGAGACCCGCGCUGCCGCAGUGACCUGGCCAGGCUGGCGUCCGCGUCGCACGCGCGACCUCCCACGCCUCACGGCUGCCUUUGCACGCCACAGCCGCCAAGCCUCACGCGCCGCUCCCCGAUGGCCUCCCUGCGAACACCGUGGCGCUGACGGCCGUGCUCGCCGACGGCACCAUCAUCGUGGCGUCCGACGACUGUCUUCUCGGGCCUCUCCUCGCUCUCCAACUCCGCCGUCGCCGCCCACGUCGUCGAGGUCGCCUCCAUGCCGUGGGUCACCGCCGCCACCGCAUAUGGUGGGUGGCUGACCUCGUGCGCUGGAUGUCGCGUGCCAAGUGGCGGUUCGCCGAGAAGCAUAACGGCAGGGGCGACGACGAGGACGAGGCUUCCACCGUGCAGCUCCGGUCCGAGACGCGCAUGAAUCCCCAGGAGAGGGUGCGGAAGGCGGCGUUCGAGCGGCACAAGAACUUGGAGCGCUACAUUACCAACAUCGACGACGGCAGUGGCGAGAAGGUGUUCCAAGCGUUGGUCAACACCAGAGUGUCCUUGCUCAACAUUCUGAGCACGUACAUAUAGAAACUGUCGUCCUGGAGUCAAUCUAUUGGUUCACCUGCAUCUUUCAAGAGAUUUGAUUUGAAAUAGGGCGUUCUGAAUUGCAAAAGUCGUAACUUUUGGUUGUGUUCUUGUCAACAAGCGAUCGAAUCUUAGUGCAGAACUCUUCUCCGAAGUCUUCGUUAUCAAGACUCCAGAAAGGACAUAUAGAUUGAUCGGUGUCUAUUGAGAUUUUUGCAUAACAGAAUAUACCAUGUCCAUGUGUGCCACGGUGAAUCCGUUGAUGAAUUUUGAUCGCCUAUGGCUCCAGCCACCAUAAGCGUUGGAUCAUGUUAUUGCUCAUCCAAAGUGUGCAGACUGUGUCUGCAGCUGAACUGAACCACCAAAUUUGAAUCUGAUCCAUCCAUAGACUAGAAAAACUAAGAAAUUGACGUUCAUCCAUCGCACGCGACACGGCCUGCACACUACUCCAAAGUACUAUCCAGGUUUUAGUAUUGUCUAGGUUUAAAGUCCUAAUUGAUUCAAUACUAGAUCUGCCGUAGUUAGUGUUUAUCUCUUACUAAAAGUCCUAAUUGAUUCAAUACAAGUUUAUUCAAGAUUAUAGCAUUUACAUUGUUAAUAAAAACUUUUUUGAUAAUUUAUGAUUUUAUUAUUGAUGUUAAAAUUAUUUUUUUUCCGUUGCAACGCACGGGCACUUUUACUAGUGUAUAUAUAUAAAUAUAAUUCCUAUCCCUCUGAAUCUAUAAUGAUUUUUUUAAAUGGCUAAAGACGGUAAUAAUGUUUGAUUUUUAGGACAACUUACGUGUGAUCUGUAAAAGAGGAGGGACUGUUAACUAGUAAACGCCAGCCUAGUUUUAUAUCAGGGGGCCUUAGUUUUUCUUACUUGUCGUCCUGUCUUUCUUGGAGGUCAAGUCAUGCAGCGUCGCGUCCUACCUAUAUCGAUCUCUGUCAAAGUAUGGAACAUUCAUAUAAUAAACAUCAAAUGAAGCUAAUCAAGUUGUCAAACACGCCACCGGCAUAAGGCAUCGUACGCGUACUUAGGCCUUGUUUUUACUUGCAAAAAAUUUUACAAAAUGUGAAUAGUAACACUUUUGUUUGUAUUUGAUAAAUUUUGUUCAAUUGUAAGCUAACUAGGCUCAAAAGAUUCGUCUCAUAAAUUAUAUGCAAACUAUGUAAUUAGGCCUUGUUUACUUCUAAAAAAUUUUGCAAAAUAUGAAUAGUAGCAUUUUUGUUUGUAUUUGACAAAUAUUGUUUAAUUAUGAACUAACUAGGCUUAAAAGAUUCGUCUCGUCAAUUCCGACCAAACUGUGCAAUUAGUUUUUAUUUUCGUCUAUAUUUAAUACUCCAUGUAUACGGAUAAAGAUUCGAUGUGACGGAGAAUCUGAAAAAUUUUGCAAAAUUUUUAGGUAACUAAACUAGGCCUUAGUUAUUUUUUACCUAUAUUUAAUGCUUUAUACAUGUAUCGUAAGAUUCGAUGUGACGAGCAAUCUGAAACUUUUUGUAAAAUAUUUGAGGAAGUAAGGCCUUGUUUAGUUCGCAAAAUUUUUCAAGAUUCCCCGUCACAUCGAAUCUUGCGGUACAUGCAUGGAGCAUUAAAUAUACAUAAAAACAAAAACUAUUUGCACAGUUCAUCUGUAAACCGCGAGAUGAAUCUUUUGAGCCUAAUUACUCUAUAAUUGGACAAUGUUUGUCAAAUAAAAACGAAAGUGCUACAGUGUCGUUUUUCACAAGUUUUUGCGAACUGAACAAGGCCUAAACAAGGCCUUAGCGGUACCAGAGUUUGCCAGCUAUAAUGAUUUCGACGUCAACUUUGAGGACAUCGUGAAAACACCACGAACAUCUACUACGCCUACAACCGGCAGGUAUUAUACACGUUAUUAAAUCACAUCAGUCAUAUUGUUUGAUAUAUCUGCAACGCGUUCUGAAUCUAUCAUGUCUAUGCUAUGGUGUAUGUCGUCUUGUUAUGCUAGUGUCGUAUCUGUAUUGAUCUGUCAUGCUAGUAUAAUCUACAUGUUUAAUCUUUUUCAUCUAUAUGUCAUGGUUUAUGCUCUGGUAUUAAUCUUAAUUUUAAUCUGAAAAAUGCCUAAUUAUUUAACGGUGUUACUAUACUCCGUCCGUCUAGAGGCAACAAGAGUAGUAAAAUACGGAGCCUCAUUCAAUGAAAGAGAAUCUUGCCACACUAACGACUCAGGCUUUGUUUAGAUGUGAAAAAAUUUUGGAUUUCGCUAUUGUAGCACUUUCGUUUGUUUGUGGUAAAUAUUGUCCAGUCAUAGACUAACUAGGGUCAAAAGAUUCGUCUCGCGAUUUACCGUCAAACUGUGUGAUUAGUUUUUGUUUUCGUUUAUAUUUAAUGUUUUAUGCAUGUGCCGCAAGAUUCGAUGUGACAGAAAAUCUUGAAAACUUUUUGGAUUUCGGGGUAAACUAAACAAGGCCUCAACAGCACCAAGAAGUUAAUCAAACUUGUCUAACUUUAGACGUGGUAAAUCGUAAACAAUGAUAAAUUAUGAUUACUCGCUCCGCUUUUACAUUUCGUGUUAUCUUUGCUGGUUCGUCUUAAGUCAAACAUAUGUUGCUUUUACCAUCAUAUAUUUCAAAACUUAUAGAGAUUCAUGGCAUAAGGCUUAUGUUUUUAGAUUUACGAUAAGAAAUAUUUUCAUAUAUAUAUAAAAUUCCUAUCCUUUGAAUCUAUAAUGUUUUUUUUAAAAAAAAAUUGCUAAAGACGGUAAUGUUUGAUUUUUAGGACAAAACUACGUGUGAUUUGUAAAAGAGGAGGGACUGUCAACUAGUAAACCCCACCAGCAUAAUUUUAUAUCAGGGGCCUUAGUUUUUUUAAUAAAGUUGUCGUCCUGUCUUUCUUGGAGGUCAAGUCAUGCAGCGUCGCGUCCUACCUGUAUCGAUCUCUGUCAAAGUAUGAAACAUUCAUAUAAUAAACAAACAAAUGAAGCAAAUCAAGUUGUCAAACACGGCACCGACAAAGCCUGAGUCUAUACUUCAUGUUUCUCCUAAUAUAAUAAACAGAAUUUUUAGAGAGAGAGAGAGAGAGGUAUGCUUCGUGCCACAGACGACGUCUUACGAUCCAUCCACGAGACCACGACGUCGCUGGAUUCGGCGGGCUGAAGCUUCCGCAGAAAUUCUCGCGCCCCACAUUGCUCUAGUUCUAAAAUAUUUUGCAAAAUGGAUACGGUAGCUUUUUCGUUUGUAUUUGACAAAUAUUGUCCAAACAUGGACUAACUAGACUCAAAAGAUUUGUCUCGUCAAUUCCGAUCAAACUGUGCAAUUAGUUUUUAUUUUUAUCUAUAUUUAGUACUUCAUGCAUGUGUCUAAAGAUUCGAUGUGACGGAGAAUCUGAAAAAUUUUGUAAAAUUUUUUGGAACUAAACAAGGCCCCAGUUCUUCCUUGAUUUCGUCGUAAAUUCUGGGAUGGACUGGCCCGCCCCGCCCGUCCCGUCCCGUCCCGUCCCCGCGUGGAUUGCCGGCUCUCGCUUGACCUGGACUCACAUCUCGCUGAGAAAAAUAAAAAAUCAGGCAGACCCACACGUAAUUCAUAGGAGUACGUGUCAUAGCUCCAGAGUACCACCGCCGCCCGCUGAGCCGGAGCUUGCGGUGACUUGUGCGCGCCGCCCACCCCGGCCGCUGACCUUUUUUUGUUGUUGUUGGGGUGGGGGCUGCGCCGCUGGGGCUGCCGCAUCCGCCCGCGGCUUGGCUUUCACCGUCAGCGCCACGUACGCACGCGUCGCAGACGCCCGGACGCCCGGUGCGGUACUCGCACCGACAAAACCGCCAAAGACCACGACGACGUGCGCGUGCUGACUAGUCGCCCGGGGCCUGUCAGCGACAGACAAGCUGCUGACUGCCGGCGAGCCCGUGGAUCUGCGGAGAAAUAUUUUGAUGCCCGUACGGUAUCUUCUCCGAUCCGCGCCCCUUGACCAUUGCCACCAAACCACGACGAGAUGCUAUGCUGCUGAGCAGAUCUGCAUCCCUAUGACGCGCGCGAUUCCUGUGGUCCGUCCGGUUCACGAACGUGCAUUCCAUUCCUGUCUCAAGCUGGCAGGGAAUCAAAAGCUGGAAGCAAAUGUAUCCGUACGUACGAAAGCGCUGGCAGGCUCCGUGAAUUUGCAACUCGCCGGCAAUGCAAACAAUAGCACGCCGCGCGCCGGACACUUGUAUUUCGCGACGUGCACGUGCUGCACUUUCUGGCGGUUACCACCAAACCCUGCACGAGCACAACGACAGGCACAGGCACGCGCAUCUGUCUCCUAGCUGUUCGAUUCACAUCAAUCUUGUGAGUGCUUCGGUUCGUCCUCCCUGGACUCCUCUACGGUGUGAACCAACAACAACAACGAGCUAGGCUAGGCCGUGCUGCUUCAAUCUAGUAACUAACUGUUUAGGCACCUCAACGGUUCCACUUCCACAUCGACACACACUUCAGCAUUAUUUUUCUUAGACAUUAUUGUUUGAAUAUUAUUGGAUUCACCUCAAACCACAUGUGUUAAUUCAAGUUUCACUCCAAUCUAUCCCAAGACAUGUGGAUUGAUGCGAAUCCAACUACUAAACGAAAGAAGAAACACAAGAGCUACCUCUUCAUCCCAUAGGGCGAGCUUGAACAAAAUAUGAGAAACUUAUGAGUCUUACUCAUUGCCGGCCUCUUUCAUUUUCAUUGUUAUAGCCGACUAUACAUAGAAGUACGGUCCUCUAUGAAAACUUGUCAUCACAUCUAGCGGCUCUUGGGGAGGGCAUGGAGGUGGAGUGAUGGAUCGUGACAACUUGGAGAAAUCGGUGGACAAGAAAGGGAAGUGAUCGAAGUGUCUAAUGGUGCGACUGGUAGUCUAGAAUCAAGUGGCCUAGAGCAGGAGCGUUAAGCGUCCGCACGCAUCGCGGUUAGGGCUUGGAGUCAAGCGUAGUGUGGGAGCAUAAAGCGCUCACCCGCAUGGUGGCUGCGGCCAGGCAAGGGGGCUUGGAGCGAGCAUGCGAUAGCAAGCUAACACUAGUGUGGGUGAUUCCUCGACACAAGUUGUGGCAGUGUCUCGGUGUGAAGAGAGAGGGCCAGGGAGCACUCACGCGCAUGUCCACAGUUGCAUGGCAUAGGGGCAUGGAGUGUUGUGUAGUGUCCUAGUGGGACGGAGAGGGGUGGAUAGCACUCACUCGCACGUCGAUGGUGCCCUACCGUAAGGGGCACAAAGUGUUAGUGUGCUCACAGCGAUUGUUAGCGCAGAUUGGUCAGAGCGUGCAUCAGAAUCUCACGCACAAAGGGCAGUGGUGCCUCGGUGUUGUUAGUAUAGAUAAGAUGAGGAGGGAAGGAAAGGUGGGAAAGAGAAAGUAUGUGGGACCUAUGAUGGCAUAUUAAGAUUAAUGUGCUAAAAGGCUUAUCUCCUCUUCUGCCUUUUAGAUAACACGACAGUGGCAUGUCAAACAUGAUCUAGCUUGAUAAAUCAGUUGUUCGGGAGCUUGUUGAUUCAACUGUUGUUGAUGAGAGGAGUAUUGCAUGUAAUUGAGUCAUAGCAUGUGCAUAGAAGUGGACGCGCAUCACAUGGACAACACACUUAGGCCCCGUUUGGUAGAGAUUGUCUGGUAGCUUUAGGAGCAAUUCUACACUAUAUUUUGCCAACAGGGCACGUCAAAUGGCUCUAUGAACGAAGCUCUUGAAGUCGCACCGAGAGAGAUUUACCGAAGCUAGAGGAGUUGAAAAAUAAGACUUUUCUCGACUUUGUCAUCCUUACUUGUGGGCUAGCCCUAAAAUACCCCUUUGCCAUGUGUGUGGGACAGACACAAUAGCAGGAUUUUGACCGAGGUGCUAGGGCAAAGUCGGAAGGCUAGGUAGGGUGGAGUGUUGGGGGCAUGGGGUGGGGUGGAGUUGACAAUGAAAUGAUGGAUGGGGCGGGGCAAUAGAGUGGUAUAGGGAAACACAAGGUGGCUAGAUGAAGAAGAUGAUAAGGGGGAGGGACGAUAGAAAUACAUAAUGGAAGAGAAAAGAGAAAAAAGAAAAAAAUAGAGAAAGGUAUUAUGGAUAUUUCACCCUUUUAUCUUCCAUGAGAAGUUGUUUAGCUAAAUAUUUUUCUAAAAUAGCUUCAGCUCCACUUGUGGUGCUGUUUAUGGAGCCAAAGCUAAAAAGGCUACUCCACUAACGAAGCGAAACUUGUUUUCUGGCUUGGAGGCAACGACCUUAGCAGUUGAGACAGUGGCGAGAGAGAGGAAGGACAUCCUAGACCAACUUCUCCACAUGCAAAUAGAGGCUAUCAACGGAACUAGUCUAGGUAAUCUUAUAAAACUAGCCUUGACCGAAAAAACUUCAUAUGCGCUAACAUUGCUACUGACCAGCCUAUGCCCAUUUGUCUACAAUCUCCCAAAAAGUCUAAAAAUCAUUUUUAUUUUUUUUUGUGAUUUGGAACUUGAACUCCGUUACUCAUUUGCCUUCAUAUGAUCCAUACAAAUUUGUUUCACAAGAAUGUGGUACUUAAUCCUUGGUUCUUGACUCUUGAGAAAUUUUGAAAUUACAACCAAGGAUCCUCGAAACUUUAGAUUUUGCAAAAGCGACAUAUUGAGGAUGAUGCACAACUUCUUUGCCUUCCUUUGGUUCAUACAAACUUGAUUUGAGAGAUUUAUGAGAUUUUGAGAGAAUUAGCCUAAAUGGAUUUAAGAAAAUCUCUUAACUUAUGAUUAGCCAACAAACAACCAUCGAACCAUAUCCACAAGUGAGUAGAUAGAAUCACAAAGAUCCAAAUAUUUACAAAACCAUCUACACUUGGUCAUCUAGUUGUUUUUUUCUCAAAUUAUAUCCUAUUUCAAAUCAAUACAAGCAUGAUAUAUUUAGCUCAUACCCACAUUUUUUAAAAAUAAUCCCUCAUCACAUGAAACUAAUUCAGAUAAUGUAAAAAGAGUUGAGAGUAUCUGUCAAAUAUCGAAGACCAUUGCAAUUCACCAAAAUAUGGACUCUUGGUGAAACUUAAAUAAGUUACACACAAAUACACGCAUUAGCAUAAAAAGGGCUUUAGAUGCACAUCAGUAUUUUAAAUACUUAAUGUAAUCAGAUACCUUGGUCUCUAGCAACCAAUUUUUACUUUUAGGUGAAGAGAAACGUUUAGGCUUGUGAUAUACAUUUGAACAAGCACAAUAUCAUCUUAUUGAUUUUGUAUGGAUAAGCUCUAGACAGGAGAUUACAUUAGUAGUAACACAAGCAUUAGUUUCUUAUUUUAGCAACCCUUUAAACGUCGAUGAGAAUUAAGCGACCAAAAUAGAGAAAUCUUAUAACAUGGAUUAAAUCUCCUUCAAAACACUUAGUGAGAUUACACAAAUAACUUAGAGGAAAUGUUAGCCCCACAACAGUAGUCAUAGAGUAAGUUCCCAUUAUGAUAAACACUCUAAGUAUUCCAAUUCUUCAUAUAGCACUUUAUUCAUUUAAGAGUUUGGAGGCUUUUACUCUAUGUCUAGGUCAUGACAACAAUAAUAUAAUUCAAAUUGAACUUAUGCCAAGAUAUAAUUUGAGUUAUUUAGUGACCACUCAAGUGGGCCAUCCAAUCAUUAGCUGCUCAAAUAAUUACCAAUAUGCAUAUAUCAUGUGUGUGUGUAUAUAACAAGUUGUAACCCUAAUGCUACCUCUUCAGCCUCUUGUCCUUAUUCUUGAUUCUUAGUUGGCCCCGACAAUCGCCAUUCCUACCUUCGGCCUCCCUAGCACCCAAUCGCUAGUCCAUCACCCUACCUUCGGCCUCUCCAAUCACGUGACCUGGUGCCAAGUAGAUCUAGCAUUCAAACCACUGGAAAGUGUCAGACCAGACAUCGACGCCACACGAGUGCGAUUGUGGGCAGGUGUUGACGGUCCUUAAUGCUCACAUUUAACCAUCAACUAAUCAUGGAAAAGGAUCCAAAUGCAACCAACACCUAGACUUAGGGUUUUAUCUGACAGAAUUCCACGAGUUUUGGUGUUUGUCUGUUUCUGCAGAGGGUUAUCAGGAAAUACGGAAGAAAGGCCCACACGUCGGGUUUACAUAGAGAUAUUAACGUGCCGCGCAAUUUUCUAUCAUCUAGAAGACUCCAGAAGCCACGGGACCGAAGCGGAGGCCGAGAGGGCUCAGGCACAGGGCGCCCGCCCUCCCUUACUGGGCGCCCGCCCUCCCCCCUGAACCAAUCAGGGUGAAGUUCGGGGAUCAUGCUCCACCGACCUAAUACUUCAAGGAAAACCACACGAUCAAUGUCGGUUUGAUCCGACGGCCCAGAUUCACUUGAAGGGACUAUAAAACCAGACCCCCCUGGCCCCUGGAGAUCAUACCUCUUCUACAGAAACAAAGCUAGGGUUUCAAUUCUUCAUCCAAGUAGAGAGGAUCCCUCUAGUUCUUCUAGUUCUACCUCUAGUUCAUCUAGAUCUAGUUCUAGUUCAUCUAGUUCUAGUUCUAGUUCCUCUAGUUCUAGUUCUAGUUAGUUCUAGUUGUAAUCUAGAAAAUAGGGAGAGAGAAGAGGAGAGCGGAGGAGGAGGAGCCGGAUCUGUCGGAUCUUCCUCAACAUUGUACUUUUGCAGCAACUGGUUCGUUCUUCAUCGUUCUCCAGGUUCUUCAAUUCAUAAUCCUGAGUUCUUUAAUUACUUUUAUUUACAUUCAAGUUAUUUAUUGGAUUCCCGCUUGCAUCAAGUGCUCUAAUCUUUGCAACAUUAGAGUAGUAAUUAAUAGAUUAGACGUGGUGUUUAGUCUUGCAAUUAUCUGGAAUUGCACCCAAUCCUGCGGAUUGUUGUGGUAGCCUUAGGGUAGUGACAGCCCUAACGGUCGACGUAUUCCACCUCGUUCGGAUCGGUGUUUGUAGGACCGUAGUCAGACCUUCCUAGCCCCCUUCUCAUCUCUUUCUGUGGUUAGUGCUCUGAUGUCCCGAUAUAGAUAAUCUUGAAGUAAUUCUUGAUUCUUAGAUCAACUAGAGAACUCUCAGGAAACUUCCUCUCUUCCCACCAAAAAAUAAUUAUAUAGUUAUCCUUGGGCGAUCUUGGAUCUUAAUUAGUACACUCACGUUCUCUGUGGAAAAUCGAUACUCUGGAAUACUCCCGGGUGAAAGCUACAUCGGUAUCCGUGCGCUUGCGGAUUUUUCUGUUUGCGUUUAAAAUACCCAACAAGCUUUCUGGCGCCGUUGCCGGGGAACGGUAGCUGUGCUAGUUUUGAACCAAGUCGUCCGUGUAUCCUUUUUCUUUUCCUUUUUUUACCACUCACCUUACCAUUUUCACCACACCACAUGGAUUUCACUCCUAUCUAUAAAUUCUUUGCUCCAAAGGGCGAGUUAUUAGAGCCACCACCAUCAUCACAUCUAAUUCUUACAGAUGGCUACGACCUCGGCCCUGAUCUAAUAGCCAUGAUUCAGGAGCAACCCUUCUCUGGGCAAGUAGAUGAAGAUCCAUACACCCACCUUAGAGAAUUCGAGCAGUUGUGCUCUUGCCGAUCUAUUUCUGGCAUGACACAAGAAACCCUUAAAUGGAAAUUAUUUCCGUUCUCCCUUUUGGGAAGAGCAAAGAAGUGGUAUGCUCAUUCUAUAGGAGGCGUUAAUGGAAAUUGGGACGAACUUCGGGACAACUUUUGUCUCGCUUUCUUCCCACUCUUUCGAAUCGCUGACCUUAGAAUCGAAAUUCUUACAUUCAAACAAAGAGAGAAGGAAACUUUAGGAGCAGCUUGGGCUAGGUUCACAAGCCUUACCAAUUCCGGUCCAAACCUUUCCAUGCCUGACCAUGUACUGUACUACCACUUUUAUCAUGGUCUAAGCAAGGAGGCUGCUCUUCACCUCGACAUUGCUUCAGGAGGCUCAUUCACACACAAACUCACAGAUGAGGGGAGAGCUAUCCUAGAGAGAAUCCUUGAAAAUACCCCUUACACAGGCAUUUAUGAUGAGUUUCCUGAAGAAGAAAAAGAAGUCGAGCCUGAUCUUAAACCAAAAGAUGAGGAACUUGCAACCAAGUUAGAAAUUCCACCUGACCCAUCCAUUAAUUUGGUUAUAGAGAAACCUCCUGAUAAGGGAAUGCAAAACCAACUAAGGGAUGAUGAACCACCACCUUUAGAGCAUCCCUUUGAAGAUUAUGGAAACACCUCGAAUUUUCCUAUCCAAACACGACCUCUAGCAAGGACCACUCAAUCCAUUCUAAGAGUAGAAUCUGUUGACAUAGAACACAUCAAAAGCCUUUCGGCUAUUUUGAGUUAUGAAUGGCUAACAGAAGCUGAGCUGUCUCCUGAGGUAGCUCGAAUCAUCACUCCUUCAACCAUUCUUCUAUGCCAAAUUAGAAGGUCCGCUAGGAAGGUCCACUACAAUCCAUAUGUUGGGAUAAAUGUUAUUUCCAAGGAGUUAGCUGACACUCUUUAUCCCAACGAGUCCAUAACCCCAUCUCAAAAACUUUUACAAAGUCCAUCUAGAUUAAUUCUAGAGAGCCAUGGGGUAUUAAGGGCAGUUCCUAUUAGAAUCAAGGACUCUGGAAUAUGUCUAGAUUUUCACAUUUAUGACAUACCGGAGAUUCCUCUCUUGAUUGGUAGACCAAUCAUGAAACUUCUACAAGAAGAACCACAACGAGGUCAUUUAGACUUCAAAGUUGGGAAUUCCACUAUUGUUGUUCCUCUUGCUAGAUCAAUUAACACGAUAGUGGAACCCAAACUUGAACCAGAUCCUAUUGAGGAGAUCUUAAUGUUGACUCGAGAGGAGAUGGCCCAACCAUUCUUUAAUCAUGAACACUUUGUUCAAGAAGAAGAAGAGUUGGUAGAACCCGUUGAGCUAGACAAAAAUGAACAACCUUCACCUUCUUCGAUAGAGUUAAAACCUCUUCCUUCUGGCCUUAGAUAUGUCUUUUUGCACAACAACUCAAAAACUCCAGUAAUUAUCAGUGACAAGCUUUCCGAUUAUGAAACACAACAACUUGUCACUGUUCUUGAAAGACAUAGAUCAGCAUUUGGCUACUCUCUCGAGGAUCUCACGGGCAUUAGUCCCAUUCUCUGCACUCAUCGUAUCCCUAUUGAUCCCAAUUUUACACCUUCAAGGGAACCACAACGGAGACUUAACAAUGCUAUGCGAGAGGUUGUUAAGAAAGAGGUCCUCAAACUCUAUCAUGCUGGGAUUAUUUAUCCUGUGCCACAUAGUGAGUGGGUUAGCCCUGUCCAAGUAGUGCCAAAGAAAGGAGGAAUGACGGUCAUUAGGAAUGAGAAGAAUGAACUCAUCCCUCAACGAAUUGUCACUGGGUGGCGUAUGUGUAUUGACUAUCGAAAACUCAACAAGGCUACAAAGAAAGAUCACUUUCCGUUACCCUUCAUUGAUGAAAUGUUGGAACGGCUUGCAAACCACUCUUUCUUUUGUUUCCUUGAUGGUUAUUCUGGAUAUCACCAAAUCCCAAUCCACCCAGAUGACCAAGAAAAGACUACCUUUACAUGCCCGUAUGGAACUUAUGCAUACCGACGAAUGUCGUUCGGAUUGUGCAAUGCUCCAGCUUCUUUCCAACGGUGCAUGAUGUCUAUUUUCUCAGACAUGAUUGAGAAGAUCAUGGAGGUUUUCAUGGAUGAUUUUACCGUCUAUGGCAAAACCUUCGAUCAUUGUUUGGAGAAUUUAGAUAGAGUCUUGCAGCGAUGUGAAGAAAAGCACUUAAUCCUGAACUGGGAGAAAUGCCAUUUUAUGGUUCAAGAAGGAAUAGUGCUAGGACAUAAAGUGUCCGAACGUGGUAUAGAGGUGGACAAAGCAAAGAUUGAAGUUAUUGAAAAACUUCCACCUCCCAUGAAUGUGAAAGGAAUCCGUAGCUUUUUGGGACAUGCAGGGUUCUAUAGACGCUUUAUCAAGGAUUUCUCUCAAAUUGCUAGACCCCUAACUAAUCUCCUAGCUAAGGACGCACCUUUCAUCUUUAGUGAUGAGUGUCAUGAAUCUUUUCAAACUCUUAAGAAAGCACUCAUCUCAGCCCCAAUCCAACCACCUGAUUGGAAUCUUCCUUUUGAGAUCAUGUGUGAUGCUAGCGAUUUUGCGGUUGGUGCCGUUUUAGGACAAACCAAGGAUAGAAAGCAUUAUGCCAUAUCCUACGCUAGCAAAACCUUGUCUGGACCGCAGCUCAAUUACACUACAACUGAAAAAGAGCUGUUGGCUGUUGUCUUUGCUAUAGACAAGUUUAGAUCUUACUUAGUGGGGGCAAAGAUAAUCAUCUAUUCAGACCAUGCUGCUCUCAAGUACCUCCUCACUAAGAAAGAUGCUAAGCCUCGUCUAAUUCGAUGGAUUCUUCUACUCCAAGACUUUGACAUAGAAAUCCGAGAUAGGAAGGGAGUAGAGAAUUCCGUAGCCGACCACUUGUCCAGGCUUCAAUAUAAGGAAACACAUGAUGAGCUUCCCAUAAAUGACUACCCAAGGGAUGAUACCCUGCUUAAGAUAACACAUGCAGAUCCAUGGUACGCAGACAUCGUAAACUUUAUAGUAAAAGGCUAUGUCCCACCUGGUGCAAACAAAAGGAAGUUGCUUCACGAAAGUCGUUUCCACCUUUGGGAUGAGCCAUAUCUUUUCCGAGUCUGCGCUGAUGGACUCUUGAGAAGGUGUGUUCCUAUGGUUGAGGCUACUCAAAUUAUGGAAAGAUGCCAUGCCUCGCCAUAUGGAGGACACUAUGGAGCAUUUCGGACACAUGCUAAAAUUUGGCAAAGUGGUUUUUUCUGGCCAACGAUGUAUGAAGAUACAAAGGACUUUGUCAGGAGAUGCCACCGGUGUCAAAAACAUGGGAAUAUUAACUCACGAAAUGAAAUGCCUCUCACAAAUAAUCUUCAAGUAGAACUUUUCGAUGUUUGGGGCAUUGAUUUCAUGGGGCCAUUCCCUAUGUCCGGGAAUUGCGAAUAUAUCUUAGUAGCUGUGGACUACGUGUCCAAAUGGGUAGAAGCCCUUCCUUGUCGAUCAGCUGAUUCAAAACAUGCCAAGAGAAUGUUCCAUGAAGUAAUCUUUCCUCGCUUUGGUAUAGCCCGGAUAGUUAUAAGCGAUGGAGGUUCUCACUUCAUCGACAAAAUCUUCCGAAAGUACCUAGCCGAUCAUGGAGUUCGACACAACGUUGCAACACCAUACCAUCCUCAGACUAGCGGUCAAGCCGAAACAUCUAACAAACAAAUCAAAAAUAUUUUACAAAAGACCGUAGAUGAGAUGGGUAAGGGGUGGAAGGACAAACUUUCUGAUGCACUUUGGGCGUAUAGAACUGCAUUCAUAACACCCAUAGGCAUGUCACCUUAUCAACUUGUAUAUGAAAAAACUUGUCACUUGCCUGUGGAAGUAGAGUUUAAGGCUCAUUGGGCACUCAAGAAAUGGAACAUGGAUCUCCACCUAGCUAGCGAGAAUCGUCUGAUGCAACUAUCUGAGCUAGAAGAAUGGAGAGAGAAAGCCUACCACAAUUCAAGGAUCUAUAAAGAGAGAACAAAACGAUGGCAUGAUAAGAGAAUCAAGCACAAGGAGUUUAAGCCUGGAGAUAAGGUUCUACUAUUCAAUUCAAGAGUUAAGCUCUUUGGGCAUGGUAAGCUACGAAGUAAGUGGGAUGGACCAUACAAGGUUAUUGACACUUCAACUCAUGGAGCCAUUACCAUCCAAGAUGACAUAGGUAACACUUUUAAGGUAAAUGGUCAACGCUUGAAAAUCUAUCUUGAGCCACAAAACAACCCUGUAGAGGAGCUUGAUGUGAUUGAGUUUAUAGAAUUCUCAUAUUAAGCUCUCAUAAGCUCUAGACAAUUACCUAACCCUUAACAAGUUCCACGAGUUUUGUUGUCUAUUUGGGUUGUGCAGGAUUUUGAGGCUUAAGAAGAGUGAGACCGAACAUGCAGGCCACAAGAGUGAACGACUAUGUCAACAUCCAGCUUGGGGGAGGCACCCCACGUGUAUCUAGAUAAGUAUUACUUUUCUUUCUUAGUUUUAUUUACUAGUAUUUGGAAAUAAAAAAAUGCAUAACCAUGAAACCAAACAAAGUUUUUCUUUUGAGUAAUAUACAAUAGUUUUGUGUAAUCCUAAGUUUUAAAUAAAAUAAAAAGAAAGUUUGGUUCAAGUCUAGGUAAUUGACAAACAUGAUAUGAGAAGGUCUGAGCUACUAUUUAACUUGUUCUAAGUUUUGCUAGAGUUCUGGAGAUUUUAUCUUUUGAAAAUCUAAAAAUUCAUAAAAAAAAAUAUGAGAUCAUAAUACCUAGAGUCUUAUAAGAUAUAAAUAUUAAAACUGUGGGCACUUGCUUUGUUCAAGCCAUUGUUAAUUCUUGUAGUUUUGGUUGAGAGAAUUAUCAUGCUCCCAAGAUCAAGAUCUUUUUGUUUUUAAAAUAUAAAAGAUUCACUCUUCCGAAGUAUUAUUGUGUUAGAGGCAUGGGACUAUGCAAAAUUUUGAUUCGAAAAAAAAAGUGAGACGAGAGGUAAAAAUGGACAAGUGUCCGAAGUAGAAUUAGGGGUACAAAGAUACCCACCUGAGUGGAAAAAAUAGACAUGUGUCCGACAGUAGAAUUAGGGGUACUUGCUGCCCACUUGAAAAAAAAAGAGACUGAAAAAAAAGAAGAGAAAAAAAAAGAAAAAAAAUGAUAGCCAUGGUCCCUCUAAUAAGCAAUAUGCCAGUAAGAGAUGACAAACUAUUCAAAAAGGUCAAAGGUCUUGAUCUAGGAGUAUGACAUUCCUCUCCCUUACUCCGAGCUUUGACAUAGCAAAAUGCAAAGUAAGUAUGCUAAAACUUUUAAAGCUCUACUUAUAUAUCUUUCGAGAAGAAGGCAAAUGCCUCAGUUUUAUUUUGCAGACUUAUAAAAAACUCCAGAACAAAGGUAAGACAGAAGAACUUGAGACAUAGUGCUUGACUUGAUCGUUCUGUUUUUCAAUCACUUAAGACCUUAGUGAUAAAUUAAAAAAACCCUGUAGUAAGAGGCAUAAAAGUAACCCUUGUUUUCUUGCUGAUUUUAGCUUUGCUCAGGGACGAGCAAAGGUUAAGCUUGGGGGAGCUUGUUGACGGUCCUUAAUGCUCACAUUUAACCAUCAACUAAUCAUGGAAAAGGAUCCAAAUGCAACCAACACCUAGACUUAGGGUUUUAUCUGACAGAAUUCCACGAGUUUUGGUGUUUGUCUGUUUCUGCAGGGGGUUAUCAGGAAAUACGGAAGAAAGGCCCACACGUCGGGUUUACAUAGAGAUAUUAACGUGCCGCGCAAUUUUCUAUCAUCUAGAAGACUCCAGAAGCCACGGGACCGAAGCGGAGGCCGAGAGGGCUCAGGCACAGGGCGCCCGCCCUCCCUUACUGGGCGCCCGCCCUCCCCCCUGAACCAAUCAGGGUGAAGUUCGGGGAUCAUGCUCCACCGACCUAAUACUUCAAGGAAAACCACACGAUCAAUGUCGGUUUGAUCCGACGGCCCAGAUUCACUUGAAGGGACUAUAAAACCAGACCCCCCUGGCCCCUGGAGAUCAUACCUCUUCUACAGAAACAAAGCUAGGGUUUCAAUUCUUCAUCCAAGUAGAGAGGAUCCCUCUAGUUCUUCUAGUUCUACCUCUAGUUCAUCUAGAUCUAGUUCUAGUUCAUCUAGUUCUAGUUCUAGUUCCUCUAGUUCUAGUUCUAGUUAGUUCUAGUUGUAAUCUAGAAAAUAGGGAGAGAGAAGAGGAGAGCGGAGGAGGAGGAGCCGGAUCUGUCGGAUCUUCCUCAACAUUGUACUUUUGCAGCAACUGGUUCGUUCUUCAUCGUUCUCCAGGUUCUUCAAUUCAUAAUCAUGAGUUCUUUAAUUACUUUUAUUUACAUUCAAGUUAUUUAUUGGAUUCCCGCUUGCAUCAAGUGCUCUAAUCUUUGCAACAUUAGAGUAGUAAUUAAUAGAUUAGACGUGGUGUUUAGUCUUGCAAUUACCUAGAAUUGCACCCAAUCCUGCGGAUUGUUGUGGUAGCCUUAGGGUAGUGACAGCCCUAACGGUCGACGUAUUCCACCUCGUUCGGUUCGGUGUUUGUAGGACCGUAGUCAGACCUUCCUAGCCCCCUUCUCAUCUCUUUCUGUGGUUAGUGCUCUGAUGUCCCGAUAUAGAUAAUCUUGAAGUAAUUCUUGAUUCUUAGAUCAACUAGAGAACUCUCAGGAAACUUCCUCUCUUCCCACCAAAAAAUAAUUAUAUAGUUAUCCUUGGGCGAUCUUGGAUCUUAAUUAGUACACUCACGUUCUCUGUGGAAAAUCGAUACUCUGGAAUACUCCCGGGGAAAGCUACAUCGGUAUCCGUGCGCUUGCGGAUUUUUCUGUUUGCGUUUAAAAUACCCAACAGCAGGCAGCCUCAUCAACACACUACACGUGUAGUCACCUAUUGAGAGCCGGGGAGCCAGCAGACUUGCUGUAGAUCGAGAAAUCUAGCAAUGCUCCCCAGCCCCUACCCCAAAGCUCCCAAUUGAACUCUAGUGAUUGGAUGACCUCUAAUCUAUAAACUUUGAUGAAUGUUGUGUGGUUGGCGUGUAGUCAUUGAUUUUUGAUGGUAUAAUGAUCUUUUGUUGUCUUGCUUAACAUGUGUCGUGUGAUGAUGAUGAUGAUGUAGGGACAAGAAUCCAUGGGAAUUAACUUCUCACGUGGGGGUAGAAAUGAAGAGCGAAUGUUCUUUGUUGGCAUUUGUGAAGACCCCGUGAGAAAGGAACGGAGAAUAUGUUUGGACAAAAAAGUUUUUUGUAUUAAUAUCUUUAGCCAUGUUGGUGUAAUGCUUUCUAAAAUCAUGUCUAGUGUGUAGUAUAGUCACAUAAGAGCAUCUCUACCAGAAUGAGAAAAACAAUGCUCUUACCUUCAAAAUUUUCAAGUAGGGGAAUGAGGUGAAAAAAAACCCAGCUCUAGCAGAUUUUUUUUUCUCAAUCUCCCUUCCCUAUAUUUUUCUAAAUCCCUAAAAUGGAGGGGAUCCAAUAAUUUUUUUCUCAAUACCCAUUUCUCCUCUUUCUAUCAAUGUCAUUUCAGGCCCACAUGGUUAUCACCACCGUGACACUGCCACCAUGUCAUCGCGGCGGAUGAGCGCGUGGGCCACACCGUUGUCACGCCGGCCAAACCGUUGUCAUGCAGGGCGAGUGCGGGCCACGCUGUUGCACCGCCAAGCGAGUAUGGACCACACCGCCGCCGUGGGUGAGUGUGGAGGCCACCUUGCCACCAUGGUGACCAAGCAUGGUGCCAACGAGGGAUGGAGAGAGAGAAAGGAGAUGGAGGAAGAAGAAGAUAGCUUUAGACAUUUUUUUGACGAGGAACUUUAGACAUUGAGAGGCGAGUGUUCCUCUAGACAUUGAGAGGCGAGUUUUACCCAAAUAAAAAGAUAUGUUUUCUCUAUAACUCUAGUCUCCUGGAGCCUGAUGACCUAUUUGGUCAUCCAUGCUCCAUAGAUCUUGAGACCAAUCUUCGUCUUGUCCCGUGCACGUGUAACCGGUGUAGGACUGGACCAUGCGACCCCUCCCGAUCGCUGGUGCUUCCCGCUACGUGGCGCGCACCACCCGCCCGCGUCAGCAAAAGCUCGCGCGCCAGCGAGCCUCGAUGCCAUUGCCACGGUUGCUUUGGGGGUUAAUCCCGUGAACAGCGAAAACGAAACGAAACGCUCAUGACCGAGACAACCGGUAAACUGCCUUUUCCACCUCCGCUUCUAGAAAGAGAGGGAGGGAGCAAGUCGACAGUCGCCGCCUAUUAAUACGCGCCCACCUCCAACCUCUCUCCUCUCCCUUUCUCUCUCUCGCCUCCCAAAUCCCCUCCUCGUCGCCGCCUCCCUCCUGGUUUCCAAGCCCCGUUGGGAGGCUCCCCGGCACCGGCAUUGGGUAUAACCUCGCCGCCUCCGUCCGGUAAGGUUUCUCCUCCCGAGAUCGACCCCCAUGCUUUCUUGGAAACUACUAUGUUACGUUGCUCAUCUAGUGCUCAUAGAUCUCGCCGCGCAGAAUUGCUUGUCGGGUUCGUGUAAAUUUCCUUUUGUUAUCUGUGCGUAUUCCUUGUCGUCUCCGCCUCCCCAUGCGACGGCGACGGCCGUCGCCCCCACGGGGAAUCUGUUCCGUUCCAUGUGUGGAACUGUAUCCGAAGAGCCCCCCAAAGACGAGUUUUUUAAUCGAGCCGCCCACAACACGGCCAUGAGAAAGCAGGUGGGAUGCAGAGGGAAGGGCAGGGAGGGAGAAGGGUGUUGGCCGUGGUGGUUGGCUGUGUGGGAUUCUUCCUCGCGGGGGGUCUCUGCGGCCGAGCCGGGGUUCGUCCAACUGGACGUACUUUUAUCUUGCCCUUUUCCCCGAUUCUUUUUGGAUGUAUCGCAACUGGGGGAGGGAAAUAAAAAGCAUAUCUUUGAUGAUUGCCGCACUGCACCGGUCUGGCCUUGUGUUCGAGGGCCCCCACGUAUUUUGUUCUUGUUGGUUGCGGUUGAUGGGCCGCCGUUGUGAGCAGCAUGUUGCAUCGCUGAGGCUUUCUUGCAAGCCUGGCCAGGCGCCAUCUGUUGUACAAGCCUAUUGAUUGGCUGAUUGAUGCCCCGGUGGUCCCAGUCGAUUAGUCCUGUCACGAUACGUGGUGAUUACUGACGUAAUCCCCAAUUAUGUGCUUGCCUUUUGUUUCCCAGUGCUACUGCUGAACAGUACCAUGUGCACCUGUCUCGAAUUGCUCUUUGAAUUUUCCUAGUAUUUUAGUGUGUGUUCUCAUGGACACCCUAUGCAAUUCACCACGCUAGGGAGACUUCACCGACAAUGCCAACAUCCGUGCAUCUACCAUUAGUACACAUGGGUCUCACCAAAUCAUCCAUGUUUAUGUCAUUUGUUGUAAUUUUGCCUUAAAUUGUUAAUGAUGGAUGGAUCAAACAUCAUUUUCCAACUAAUAUGUGGCGGUACAUAAAGGAAUCAUGGCUCACCAGCUGAUGUCUUUUUCAUUUUCCCUUGUAACUCCUGACUCGUGGAAAAAGGCGAUCCUGUCUUUUUCCUUUUAAAACAUGCAAGACAGGAAUAGGAACUAAGCUGUUCAAUGUUGUCAGUUAUUCUUGCAUUAGGUGGUGUGGUGUUUCAUUAGACAUUACAUGACAACACUUUUUUUGUUUUUUUAUUACUGUAGUGUAGGCUGUGAUUGUGCACAAUUAUUGUCCUUGGAACUGAUUGGUAUGUCGGAUGAAUGAGUUCUCCUUGUAAAUGAUCUGAGUUGACCAGGGUGAUGAACCAGUAUAAAGUGAUUGAUAUGUUCAAGGCUUAUCUUUUUUUUUUCUUCCAAUACAGAAUGCAGGGUCUUCACAUUUAAUGGGCUGGAUGCGGUACAUGCAUGUUUGCAGUGACAAGAACACAUUGAAACGUUGGUUUUUCAUUGACAAGAGGGUUGGUUAAGCAUUUUGGUGCACUAACCUUUUGUAGUCUGUAAUUGGUUUCACAACAAGUCUCUUGGAGUUGUGUCUUGUUGAUGGAUUUGAAGACAGGCCUCAAUUCACCUGUUAUUGCUGACCAUCUCCCUACGUUAGCAUCACCUGCUGCUGUCAUGACUUUCACAACACCUACUAGCUUUCCCUCUCCGGGGCUUUGCUUGAACACUACAAAGAAGAUACCUCUACCUGGUAAGAUUGAAGAAGUUCGUGCUACUGGAUGGCUUGACCUCAUGAAGGCCUCAUCACCUACCCGCAAAAGGCAGACCAAGGAUGCCAUCUGUGAUACUCAAUCUGAUGAUCUUGAUUUGCAAUACCGCAACUGGACGGUAUGUAUCUGAACCUAUACUGUAUGGCAUAAUUGUAACCAAUAUGUUAGUGAUUCCCAUUGCUUCACCUUUAUAGGUGAACUAUCCUUCUGCUUUGACCUCAUUUGAGGAAAUUAGUGAUCUUGCUGGGAAUAAAAGAUUGGCAUUGUUUCUUGAUUAUGAUGGAACACUUUCACCGAUUGUGGACAAUCCUGAAAAUGCAUUAAUGUCUGAUGAGGUAUGUUUUCCUUAAGUCCAACAGUUCUUGUAAAAUUAGCAUUCCAGUGCAAUUUCCAGUCCACUUUCUAAACAUUGUAUUUCACAGAUGCGUGCUGCAGUGAGGCAUGUGGCAUCACUUUUCCCAACUGCAAUCAUUAGCGGAAGGUCUCGUGAUAAGGUAUACAAUGUUAUUGUUCAUUACACAAAUUACUCCUAUCAGCAUUGCAUCUUUCUCUCAUUGAUUUUUUUAGGUUUUUGACUUUGUCAACCUAAAUGAACUAUACUACGCUGGAAGCCAUGGAAUGGACAUAAUGGGCCCUGUUAGGAAGACUACUGACUCCAAUGGCGUGGAAUGUAUUCGGUCAACUGAUGCGCAUGUGAAACUACUUUCUAGAUCUUUACCCUCAUAAUUUAAAUUUCUUACUCGCUUUCGUAGUGUGAAUCUCCUUUUCCUCCUCGUAGGGUAAAGAAGUCAAUCUGUUCCAACCUGCUAGUGAGUUUUUACCUAUGAUCACUGAGGUAUGCUGUAUCAACUUCUUGAGUUUAAGUUGCCAUCUUAUGUCAUAUGGUUGGACUUACUCAGUGGUGUACAUGCCAGGUGUAUGAAAAACUUGGUGAGAGUGUUAAGGACAUUGAUGGUGCAAGGAUGGAAGACAACAAGUUCUGUGUGUCUGUGCAUUACCGUAAUGUGGCGGAAGAUGUAAUAGUUCUAUAUCUUAGUGUUUAUAUCAUACAGAAAAUGUGCAUUGGGAUUAUUUGAGCUGAACACGGACCAUUUAAACUCAAAUUCCUAUUCUUGCUUCUUAGGACUAUAAAAAGGUUUUCCAUCGUGUAAGUGCUGUUUUGGAAGAUUACCCUUGCCUAAGACUAACCCAUGGGAGAAAGGUGAGGAUUAUGCACCUUUAGAAGGCUUUCCUUAUUAAAAUAUUUGUUGUAAGCAGUCUGAAUUUGAUUAAUAUUCAAUCACACUCUUCAAUCCAGGUUUUUGAGGUCCGUCCUGUUAUUGAUUGGAACAAAGGUAAAGCUGUGGAGUUUUUACUCGAAUCACUUGGGCUCAACGAGAGUGAAGAUGUUCUCCCUAUCUAUGUUGGAGAUGACAGAACAGAUGAAGAUGCAUUCAAAGUAUGCCUAGUUCACUUGAAUGGACUUCUAAAGCAUAUAUUUCCACAACACAUAAUUUACUCUUGGUUCAAAUAGGUUCUGAAGGCAAGCAACCGUGGCUUUGGAAUAUUGGUGUCAUCUAUACCCAAAGAGAGUGACGCCUUCUAUUCCUUGAGGGAUCCAGCUGAGGUAACUCAUAGCACUGUGGCAACCACAACAAAUUUUUGCCUUUGAAUAUUUCUUGGUUCAAAAGGAAAAUUGAAAACUUUUGAACGUUUGACUAUGUGUUGGGUAUUGCAAGUUUAGAGAAAUGAAACAUUCUGUUGAUGCAUAUAGGUGAUGGAAUUUCUGAGAAUGUUGGCAGCAUGGAAGGAGCAGUCCACCUGAUACCAGUUUUGCUGGGUCUGGAGAAGAACCAAGAUUAUAAAUAUUAGCAAGAUAUAUAAUGCUAACCAAAUAAGUCGGCUAUUUGGAGGAGUCAAGCCAAAAUAUUUUUGAUUUGGCAAUUUAUAAGAGGCUACCAUGUUUUGAUACCUUUUCAGUCCCACUUUGUUCUUGUGUUAAAUGGGUUUCUCAAUCAGUUUAAUUCUUUCAUUAUUUAGUUUCCUUUAGUAUAUAUGGAAAUAUUCUUGAAAAGGAAUUUUGUUUCCUGCUAGUGUUUCGCUGUGUCGUGAAUUUUGUAUUCUUCAAGCUGUAAAGGAUCGGUUUUUCGUUUAAACAACAUUUUAGCUGACAAUGGCUCAUGGAAAGUCAAGUUAUGAACAAGGAGCCGCGGAGACCUACAUUGCAGUUGCAGGCAUGUUGCGUGCCUGGGCUUUCUUUUUUAUCUUUGCUGCAAGUGUGUCUGGAAUUCUGUCUGCUGUUCCGAAUAUCUAUUCCAUGUUGAGCUGGAACAGUAUAAUCUGGCGAUCAAAAUGCUCAGCUCGCUAUUCGCGAAUGUGCCGAUGUGUUGUGUCGCUAUUUCGCAUUAGUUUAGUCUCGUCUGAUAAAAUUAUAGUGAUAAUUUCAGUGUAGUCGGGUGAAUUUCUAUGGCUACUGUCGUGACCUUGAAAUAGCGAUCAUGUUAGAUGGCAAACAGCUGGACUGCGGACAAUCCUAUUUACUUAAGCUUAUCUUUCUGUCAGCUAUUUAGUACUAGUAUGCUAUGUUUCUUUGGUCCAAGCGAACAGAUCCAAUAAAAAUGUUUCUAUGGAGAAGAAGAAAGAGUUUUUUCCCCUUCUUUGGCAUAUGUUUCAAUUUUUUUUGGGAGGAUUGCAUCCAUUUCGAUUCUUUUGAGAUGAAGCAUCCAUUUCAGUUGAUAUAUUUUGAUUCGAAAAAACUGAACUACAAAUUGAAUUGCACCAUCUAUUUCUAGUUUCUUGCAGAGACUCAUAGGAAUAGAUAUUUUGGGUAGAAAGAUCUUUAAAUAAUGCACCAUCUAUUUCUAGUUUCUUGCUCGCUAAAGAUAAAAAGCGUGGAUAUAUAGCUCUCUAAAGUGUUACAAGAUAUAGAGAAGCUGUUGGAAGAGAGAAAGUUAUAAAGAUCAAAUUUUAUUUAAAUUAAAAGAAAAAUGAGAGUGAGUUUAAGAAAGACGGAGACGAUGCAACUGGGUCAUGCGGCCCACCGCACUUUCCAGGUGACGACAGUUCGGCCCAUGACCCCUAGCCCAUACACAAUCAGACCGAGUUCCUUCUAACCCAUCACGGCACUUCGACGGGCCACACACACUUUUCCUUUGAGGACCACUCCUCCUCCUUGCACUGUAGAGUCCAAAACCCUACGAUCCGCGCCACCAUGCCGCGCCUCGCCGCCGCCGCCGCCGUAUCACGCCGCGCCGGCGAGGCCCUGCGCCGCGGCGCGCUUGGGAGACUGCGGCUUCUCUCCUCCCUCCAACCGUCGAACGCCGCCUCCAGCGACGAGGUAACCAAGCGCCUGGUCCGCCGAUCCCACCGUCGUGGCAUCCUCCUUCGGCAUCGGAGGCGCGGGGGUUCCGUCGCUGACACCGUAUUUUGCGCAGGUGCUCGUGGAAGGAAAGGCUACUGCGCGCGCCGCCGUGCUCAACCGCCCCGGCUACCUCAAUGCCCUCACCACCACCAUGGUUCGUCCCCAUUUCCUCGCGUUGGUGCGCAGUUUUGUUUUGGUGGUGAUUGGAAGGCUCUUUGUUCGACGAGAUGCUUUACAUAGUUGUGUGGUGAUGGGGUUUGGGCUCACAGCUCACUGAGCUGUAGGUGUAUUGUUUGAUGAAAUGAGUCGGUGAUCAUGCUCCAUAGCAGUUUGGUGAAUUAUGCUCUCUUUUAGUCCCCUGCUAUCUUUUUGCGGAGCAUGUGUAUAAUGUAAUGCCCACACAGUCAUUUAUGCGUGCUGGGCGCCUUGGUGUUGGGACUUGGGUGAACUAUCCUUUUCUUCAACAAAGGCGGAGCUUCCACAGAUUGAUUCUGUCCCUUCCUUGCAGUGCAAAUGAUUUUUAGCCUUAGUUUAUUCGUGUGUUGAUAUUGCUGACUUCAUUUGUUUUUUCUGUCCAUGGCUGUAUGGAUUAUAGCUUACAGAUUUACAUUGGAAACAGUUGAUCUGAUUCUUGGUGAAAUGUGUGUCUUGAUAGGGAGCUAGGCUUAAUAAAUUUUAUGAAUCAUGGGAGGACAACCCAGACAUUGGCUUUGUCAUGAUGAAGGUAUGGUGCUUCAUCAUUUCAGUUCUGCUAAUAUUGCUGACCAAAUAUAAAUUGAGUUGUUCAUUGCAUGAAGGGCAGCGGCCGAGCAUUCUGUGCUGGUGGGGAUGUUGUUAGAUUACGUGAACUUAUCAGUGAAGGUGGGUGGUUAGGCCUUGCAUAGCAUAUAGUUUGUAUCCCAUUGCGAACUGUUGAUAGUAAUCAUUCCGUUAUAUUUCUGUCACCUGCUUAUCCUUUUUAGUAAACUGUCUGUCAAUGCUUGUUUUUGCUUUCACAAAACAACAGCAAGUUAUUAUGAUGACACAAUUUGUCAAAACAACUCUCCAUUUGCUUGCUUGCUGAAUCUGCUUUAUUUGUCUCUAGAAAAGGUCGAUGGAAAGAACGAAAAUCAAAGGUUUUUUUUUAUCCAAUUUAUUGUACAAGAAGUUCCUUAAAUUUGGAUGGUCCGCUGUAAACUUGUGCAUUGUAAAAAUGUUUUGUGCUGUUCAAGUUUACCUUAAAUUUAAUAUUUUUCCUUAUCAGGCAAGCUGGAGGAAUGCAAGGAUUUUUUCAAGACUUUGUACAUGUUCAUUUAUUUUCUGGGCACAUACUUGAAACCACAUGUAAAGUAUAUUGAUCCAGAACUAUUUUCUUGUUACAAUUCAUUGUAAUAUUUUUGAUUUUACAUCUGAGAUUGCAUUUAUCUGCUAAUAUAGAUUGCCAUUCUUGAUGGUGUUACUAUGGGUGGUGGUGGAGGUGUUUCCAUUCCUGGAACGUUCCGCAUUGCAACUGAUAGAACAGUAUGUCAAUAUAUUUUUACUCAUUCGCUUAUAUUUUCCAUAGAUUUCUGUGGCGAGCUUAUGCUAUUUUCCUCUUUGUGCUUCCUCUAUUUCUUGCAUAGUUUGCAGUCAGGUAUUUGACAUGUUUUUUUAAUUUGCCGAUUUUAGGUCUUUGCAACUCCAGAAGUUCAUAUUGGAUUCCAUCCUGAUGCUGCAGCCUCAUUUUAUUUGUCGCAUCUAACUGGUCAUGUUGGUUAGUGCUCUUAUGUGGAAUUACAUCUUGUCCCUGCUACUUUAUUGGUGGUUGUGCUGUCCAUUGCAGAAUAGGAAUAUGUAAUCAGUCUGCUAGUUUUCACACUGGGAGCCUUGCAGGGGAAUAUGUGGCCUUGACUGGUGAAAAGCUCAAUGGAACAGAUAUGAUUGCUCUUGGCCUUGCUACACACUAUUCCAUGAGUGGCGUAAGAUUCUUUUACUAUAUAUUUCAUGUUUGAAGUCCAGAUAUUUCUACUGCGGUAUUUUAAAUUAACUUAUGAACAUUUUGUGUUUGUUUUUUGGGACAGCAUCUGGAUCUGAUCGAUGAACGACUUGCAAAGUUAGUAACUGAUGAUCCAUCAGUUAUUGAUUCUUCCCUUGCACAAUAUGGAGACAUGGUUUAUCCAGACAAAGAAAGCAUUGUUCAUAGGUAAUCUAUUUUACCAAACAUUGCUCAUCAAACACUUUACCAUGUGUCAUCUCCAAAAUCCGUUUUUGGGGUUUUUUUGGAUACAUAAUUAUUAAUUACACACCCUGUAGAAAAAGGCAGAAAUGUUAGGUUUAUCCAUUUAUGAACAAGAAUUGAAAGCAUUGCUUGUUCUUUCCUGGAAUAGAUUUGAGCAUGGCGGGCUUUGAUCUGUCUUCCUUUCCUUCGUGCCAUUACUUUUGGGCAUGUCAGUUUAUUUUCUUCAUAAAAAUGUUAUAUUGGUUGGAUUUAUAUAUGCGCUUGAGAUGGUGAAAUCUUGGUGCUGCAUUAUCUGCUCUUUAAAAAAUAAUCGACUGUUUCUUCUUUUUAGUUAAGAGUAGGUAUUGGCCCAUGUGUUGCUAUGGGCACAUAAUAAAAUUUAAACGAUACUAAUAUUUUUUUUAAGUUUAAAUCCUAACAAACAAUAAUUUGCUCAUCCCUUGCCUCUUUAUUUUGUAGCCCAUUGCCUCUUUCUUUCUAUAGAAUCAAUCGGUGGUGGCUGUAUAAGCAUGGGAAAUGAUGUCUAAAUGCCCUGCCUCUUUUCUUCUGAACCUCUUUUCCCCUUUGGUCUUCCACUUUUGCAUUUCAGGAAGCAAUCUGCUCCGUAAUAUGGCCACUGUUAUCUUGCCUGAAAGUAAAUGUAAGGAACAAGUGUUGUAAGCACAAACAUCUAUACUUGAUGAUGAAAUUAACUUGGCCACUAUUGUCUUGCCUAAGUAACGUAAAGAACAAAUAUUGUAAGCACAGACAUCUGUACCUGAUGAUGAAAUUCACUAAAAUCACUGCAUGAUCCAGAGCACUCACGGGAACCUAAUUUCAUAUCAACAAUAUGAGACACCCGAUGAUAUGAAGUCCAUAAACUAAAGCACGGGCUAAUAAUCUGAGAUAACAGGUGAUAGUGUGGACUCUGGUUCAGACCAACUGCAAGACGAGAGCUUCAGUUUGUGGUGAAGCCACUGCCACCAUCUGUGCUGGUGUCCAGGUCUUUCACCGCGACCACAUCACAGUGUACACGAACACACGGACAGCCCAGAGCAGUGGAUUCGGGUAUGAGAAAUAGCUCUCUGCCGGUGAGCAGGCCAGCCCGCUCCCUCUGCUCGUACUCAUGCCUCCACUACCCCCGUGCUUAGCUCGCGCAGCUCUGCCACCAGGGUCGCGCACCUCACAUCCCUGGCCUGAUCUGUGGCCAUCAAGCAUCUUGCCGCAAGUCCAGUAUCCGUGCCACCUCGGUGUGCGCUCCUCCACAACAUGUGGCACAGCGCUCCGCCACAACACGGGGCACAGCGCUGUGCCGCAACACGUGGCGCAGCGCUCCCGGCAACCUCCAGACACAGAUCCAUGUCCACCACCACUGGCCUCUGCACCAUGGCAUCCUCACAUCCAACAUCCAUUAACCUCGCUAGAGGCAUUGGAGAGAUCAUCGCCGUCCACUCAUUGCCAUCCACUCCUGCCAAGAGCACACAUAAACGGCUGAAUACAUUUACACAGUUCAUCAGUAAGGCAUGUGCAAAAGAAGAGCACCUUAUGAAACUUUUUUUUUUCACCGAGUGUGUCAAGGGUCACACAUUUUGAAGUAGGCAAGAUGUGCUGUAAG
rnacentral:lncRNA from 1 species